UCUUUUUGGUGUUUGGUAAAUUGGUUAGGAGCCUGCUUCUUCCAAAAGCAAUGGCUUUUUCAUUUGAAAAGCAUAAGCCAGGCUUGGCCUUCUUUUAGAAGCAGAAGCCGCGGUAUUCACUGUAGCGGUGAUCACAGUAGAUUAAUUCGAAAUACCAACUUCUCCUCUCUUCCUUAAAGAAAUUAUGCACAGACACUUCUCCUCUUCUCCCUCAACUCUCUCUCUCUCCCCCCCUUCUAGAUCACUAGCAGCACCAACUACUGAUUCCUGACGACACGACCUAGCCAAAGCUCACUCUGCCGAACUAAUCGACCCCGAACUGAAAUCCGGAGUAACGUUUUUUGGUGUGAAUUGCCUGAUCGUAUUGCUUCAUCUAUGUCGUUAUGCUCUUUCUGGGGAUUGAAUUGCUUCGUCUAUGAAUUGAGGGAUGUGGAAGAAUGGCUAUGUUGGGAGGUUAUGCUUUAG
rnacentral:lncRNA from 1 species